GUUACCUUUAAUUCAGUCCUGUGAGACUGGCAAGGUGGAACAGAUGAAGAUCUGUUUUAUAAAUAAAACUCGGAAAGGUUUCUUCCUUUUGCGAGCCUUUUAUUUGUACACUACACCUUGCCAGAAUAGGCAAGGUGUUUUUUUGG
rfam:Virgibacillus necropolis strain LMG 19488 chromosome, complete genome.